rnacentral:ribozyme from 1 species
UGCCCAGCCACUUCUAUCCCUACCUCCUCGUGGUACUGGCCGGAAACUAUGAGCAACCUUAGGGAAGA